GUAAGCUUGGCUCCGCUAUUAAAAGAGCACCAGAUUCCUAAUCUGGGGGUCGCGCGUUCGAAUCGCGCCGGGAUCACCA
rnacentral:tRNA from 1 species